rnacentral:antisense_RNA from 1 species
CUUCAGCGACCCCAGCCACAACGGCCGUUCCGCCGGGCGUCCCCGGCCAUAGGUGGCCAGCAGCGCGUGCGCCUC